rnacentral:rRNA from 1 species
CCUACGGGUGGCAGCAGUAGGGAAUUUUCGGCAAUGGGGGGAACCCUGACCGAGCAACGCCGCGUGAAGGUAGAAGGAAUUCGUUCUGUAAACUUCUGUUAUAAAGGAAGAAAGACGGAUGGAGGAAAUGACAUCCGAGUGACGGUACUUUAUGAGAAAGCCACGGCUAACUACGUGCCAGCAGCCGCGGUUAUACGUAAGUGGCAAGCGUUAUCCGGAAUUUUUGGGCGAAAGGAGGGAGCAGGCGGCAACAAGGGUCUGUGGUGAAAGACUGAAGGUUAAGUUUAGUAAGCCAUAGAAACCGGGCAGCUAGAGUGCAGAAGAGGAGCGUGGAAUUUCAUGUGUAGCGGUGAAAUGCGUAGAUAUAUGAAGGAACACCAGUGGCGAAGGCGACGAUCUGGCCUGCAAUUGACGCUCAGUCCCGAAAGCGUGGGGAGCAAAUAGGAUUAGAUACCCCGGUAGUC